UGAUGUAUGGUUAUUUGCCAGGGUUUUAUUUUUAUAUUUUAAAUCUUGAUUUUAUUUUAUGUUUUUUAAAUGUUAGUGUUUUUGAAUAUAUUAUUUAAAUAACAUAAAAAAUAAAAUAUAUAUUGACAUGGAUUAAAUCAAAGAUAUAU
rnacentral:misc_RNA from 1 species